GCACGAGUCGCCCGACCACCGCGCGCCGCCUCCGCCGCCCAUCGCAUCGUCCCCCUCACCGCCGGCGGCCUAUGCCCCUCCCCUUCGCUUCCCUCCCAAAAGUGGACCCCCCACCCAUCCAUCUCUCUCUCCCUGGACACAUCUCUGCCGCCACAGAUGCCGGCCGAUUCCGGCGUUCUCUGGCGACUUCCGCCACCGCGCAGCACCGGUCUGAGCUCGCCUCGCUCCGCUGGGUCUUUUCCCCCAACGGGACUCGCUGCUAUCGGCCACCAGCGAUGACAUUAGGCCCUUACCAUGGCUAGGGUUUCGGGCGCCUCCACACUGGCGUGGCUCCCGCGCCUCCAGCGGCUCCUCUCCGACGCCCACCGCGCCCUCACACGCAGCUCCCAUCUCUAGGAAGCUGCUCCUUCGCCUGGUGCCCAUGUGAUGUGCAGGGCAAGGAUUGGAUGCUUGAGGAAGGAGGGGUCGCCCUUGCCUUGCUGCAGCUCGGGGCGCACCACCCAUGGUGCUUCCUCCUUUCUGUCUUCACCAACGCUUGCAUCGGAGGAGCUGCUGCUGUGCUUCCUUCUCUGAUUUUUCAGGGUCAAAGUCAUUAUGUUCACCAUGAUGCAGAUUGCCAUCACAUUCAGACCCAAAGAUCUGGGAACUAUGAACUUGAUUAAAAGGGCAGGGUCAAAUUCAAGACCCGGGUUAGUGGCGACUAUGAUGGUCGCCUGCAGGCUAUGGGUCUAGCAGCGUUGCAGGCAGCAGUGUGCAGCGUUUUACGGUAGGGCGUGUGGCCAGUGCUGUCGGGCUCGCGGUGGCUGCAGAUGGUGGAGUACCGGACUUGUGGUGGGCGCCCAUUCACAAGAUCUACAACAUCAUCUUUGGGCCAGUUCUCCAUGAAGGCCAUCCUGCGAUACAAGGUUGCGUCUUCCUGCUAUUUGGGUGACGAUGCCGAGCCUGUCGGCCUAUGCCCAUCGCUUCUGAUGUGGUAAUGUGGCGGUCGUUGUUGUUUGCCUGCAGAGGCUGUGGAGAGGUGGGACUUGCAGAGUAUAUGUAGCAGAAAGGAUCCAAGUAUUGGAGCCAAACAACUGUCUAUGCUACCACAUCAAGGUGGGUUGAGGCAAACAAAGUGAAGACAGGAAUAUACAGUAGCAGAAAGACCAAGCAGCCUGGUAGCUCUUUCAUUGAACUGGAUGGAUGCGUGCAUGAGUUCUUUGCCGAGAAUGAGUCACAUUUUGAAACUGAAGCUAUAUACAACACUGUUUUAGGGAUUAAUGAACUGUUAGUAGCAGAGUCCUUCCUGAUGUGAAAGCUAAUACAUUUCUGUGGUAACCAUACCUCAGUACCUAUGAUUCAAUAAUCUUCUUUUUAUGAAAUGAUGAAACCCGAAGUAUUUCUACGUAUUUGCAUUUCUCUCUGAGGCGGGAAGUUUAUUUUCCAGACAUUUAUGUAAUGAGCCACUUAAUGUGCAACUGAGUGCACAUUGUUAUCCAAAUUUUAUUGGUCUAUCUGAGAUGUUUCCUUCUGGUAUUGCAAUUUAUGCUAGGUAAUACCCACAGUUUUUGCUGUGAUGUUACUAUGUCAGAAAAUUAGCUGUCCACUGCAUCACUUAUUUGUUCUCUCAUGUUCUUGUCUGACAGUUAUAUUUUUACUCCGAACUUACUAACCCAGCUUUGGUUUCUCUGGCUUAAACUAAUCUGGGAGCAGGGUAUCAUGUGCCCGCUCACCUAUUGGUGCGGCUGGUGGAUACAGAGAGAUCAACGAUGAGGAGACCCUCGUCGUUCUUCUGAUUGCAGCCAGUUGCGUGAUGUGAUGGCGGAGUUGUUCUGCAACCGCCUAGGGGCCAUGGACGAUGGAGAACUUCCUAACGCAGUAUGCGAGCGGGGACGAUGGAGAACUUCCUGGCGCAGUGUGCACGCGAGUGGGUUUCAGGACAGUUCAUGAUACAAGGUCAAGCUCAGCUUGGUGGGGCAUGAUAGCCAUGGCCAACUUUGAGCCCAGCAUCAAGUUGGAAAGCUUUAUCUGAGAUGUGUUUUUUAGCUAUGCCCUUUUAUGUCUUAGUUUGGUCUCUGAAUUUUCGGGCGGCGCUUAUCAUUUAAGAUCAACACAGCACUUUGCUUCAUUUGUGCUUCAAAGAAAGCUGCUGCAUAGGGACAUUUGAUGUGGUGGAUUUCAGAGAAUCAUUUUAGGAAAAGUGGAGCAGCUGUGUGAAGAGGUUGCUUAAUUGAAGGGAAUCAUCGAGAAGAUGUUACUAUCUUUCAUGCAUAAAAAUAAUUUUGGAGGAUGCAUGGAUCAAAGAGAUUAUGGAUUACCACAAGCUUAUGUGUAUCCAUGGGAGUUAUCUGUGUAUUAGAAUAUGGAUACACAUGUAACUAUAGCUUCAUUGCCCACCUAUUUUUGAUUUUUAUGCAGUUUUUAUUGCUUAAAAUUUUAUAUUAAUCUUCUUCCGUUGCAAUGCAUGGGUAUUUUUG